rnacentral:lncRNA from 1 species
GUGUGGGGUGUUCUAGAUAUAGUGAAGUAUGCAUUAAGAUUGUGAGUGGUCAAUAAGGGAUCGAUCACUCCUAAUAAGGAGAGCGAAUGUCCUACGUAAUCUCAUAGGUUGAUGAUUCUGGAAGUCUUUGGCCAAAGCAGGAUUAUAAUUAGAAAAGACUUUUUAAUGUAUCAUCAACUAAAUCAUUAUUUUUUAAUCAAAAUAUAUUUAUA